rnacentral:sRNA from 1 species
ACUUUGAAAAUAGGGGCAGUGUCUGGGGGUAAUUUCCCCUAUGUCAAGAUUAAAACAGACACAUCACAUGCUAAUGAAUGACACUAGGCUAAAACUGUGUCCCCUCUAGACUGUGAUGACAAUAGAAAUUCCUGCAUUCUGUAACAUAAAGGGUAUGGGGUAAGACAAGCACAGCCUUCCCUUUUGUGUUGCUCCUGUCUCAAAUUUCAGUUCAUCUUAAAAUCAAUAAUAAUUUCUGAAAUCUAGGAAUCUGUCCUGCUGCCACAAGUUCUGGCUAGGAGACAUGAAUAAGGCUCAGAGAUCUGUUAAUGGCAGAAGACAAUAAGGAUAACAUGCCCUCUUCACACUUGUGCCAACCUCAGCUUGUCCCAAGACUAAACAGAAUUUAACCUCACAAGGCUAUAGGACUAUUUAUUUGCCAUUGGCUUGUUUAUUUACCUUUUUGAGACUCAGUGUACGCCAUAAUGAUCUUGAACUUGCUGUGUUGGCAAGGCUACCCCUGAGCUCCUGAUCUUCUUGCCUGUACUUUACAGGUUCUAGAAUUCCAAUACUUUGCCACCAUGUCCUCCUCUUAUUUUUCACAUCAUGUAUGCAGUUACUUCACCCCUAGUCCAGAUUCUUGUACCUCUCCUUAUCAAAAAUAGAAAAUCAUUUUAAUUAAAACCUUGGGCAGUGCACAUGGCCAAAACUGAAACACAAUUCCACUCAAACUUCCCAGGAGGACAGGAUAAUUUUGUCCCCUGUAUGGGACUAUUUUUCCCACAGCGGAUUCAGUUCUAAACUGAGCUUUGUCUUUAUUAAGGUUGGUCGAACACCGGGGGCACAAAUAGCAGUAGAGCCUUUUCCUUUGCUCUUGUGUUUUGGCUUUGGGUUAUUGAUGGAUUUGGGGCUGAAUCUGCUUCCUGGCUCUAAGCUCCUUGGAGAAAGAAAGGUUGGUUUGGCUUACAUUGUUGAAUAAAGCCAGGUCAGGAGCUGGAGACAGGCACGUGGAGGCAGGAACUGAGGCAGAAAUCACAGAGGAGCCCUGCAUCCUGGCUUUCUGACUCCUGAUUAGCCAGUGUUCUUCAACAGCUCAGACUCACCUGCCCAAGGACAGUGGGUUGGCUGUGUGCUGACAAUUAUUUAUCAAAGCAAUCCAUACAGCCAGGUCUAUAGGCAAUAGUGACCUGGGCACAUCCUAGAAUGAUAGCCAUUUACAUGACAUAGCUGGAGCCCUGUUGACAGGUGAGAUAAUGAAGACAGAUGGCCAGCAUUGCUACUGCUGUUCCUGCUGCUGCUGCUGUCUGGAUGUUUCCAAUGGAAUUGUUGGGCACAGAAAUCAGUGAGAAGUCGAGAUGAAAGUUGUGUGUAACCAACUGCUGGGUGGACCCUACCAUUUUCCACCCUUCUUCUUCAUUCUUAUCUCUGACUUUCAGUCCUGUGAUGGAUGAACUUAGCUUUAGACACUUUCAGAAGAGAAGUGGAAACCAGUUAUCGUUUCUUCCUUCCAGAAUUAAAAUACUGCACAUAAUCAAUUCUCAGCUAUUACAUCUAUUACAGGUAACAUAUGCUAUUAUCAGGAUAUGUUCCUGACUGAGAGUCAAGAGGAAACUUUUUGACCGACCCACUUCAGGAAAGGGCCAAACCAAAGCUGGCUGUUGUCUAGGAUUAACAUUCAGAAAGUGAGAAGCCAGGGCAGCACGAUGGGCCCCUUCAGACACAGAACCUUCCUUGGGAAUGCCUUGGAAGGCUCAGUUGCCCUUUCCCAAUCCCCAUAGUGUCUACCAAAAAUCUCCAUGAACAGCCAUUGCUGAGUUCCUCACUUUACAUCCACCUCAGCCUGUCACCCUGAGAACUCAGAGUUCCCACAAGCACAAAGGGGUCCCAGAAAAGUACAACCAGGGUCCAGCCCCUGCUGUCAAGAUGCCGAACCUGUUCCUUCCUGCUAUCACACAGCUACUGUUUGUUUCCUCUUACAACCAACAGAGAUUUCAGUUUAAGAGACUUAGGGACACUAUUCCAUGUAGAAACAGGGUGGCUGGUGACUGCUCACUCAUGUGUAUUCUUAAACUGGGAGAGCAGGCUGGAGUCCUAAGGGGAUUACUUUUGUUAGAUGUACUCAGUUAUACACUUGACCUUGAUGAAGGAGAAGUGGAUGCAGAAACACCCCUUGUAUGCCUAAAUGUGUAUGUGUGUGUGUUAAGUACAUGUAUGUAUUUUUUGUAUGUGUACAUGCAUGUUCCCAUUUGUAUUGCUAGUUGAACCUUUGAGACGUUACACUUUUUUAGCAUGAACUGUGUACUAGUCACGGGAAACAUAGUAUAACAUUUGUGAUCAAACACCACCUGAGAAUGACACUUCGAAAGAACAUGGCCUUGCAAACAUCCACACUGUGCAAGGGUUGAUCUGCCCUGCUGGAAUAACUCUUAAAAUCACCUCUUUGACUAGUCCUAGCUACUUUCUCAUGACUGCUUUAGCGAUUGCAAAUGUGUAUAAUGAGAAGUUCUGCUUGAAAUAUAGGAAUAU